UACGUAGGGUGCGAGCGUUAAUCGGAAUAACUGGGCGUAAAGCGUGCGCAGGCGGCGCGUUAAGACAGGUGUGAAAGCCCCGAGCUUAACUUGGGAAUUGCGCUUGUGACUGGCGGGCUGGAGUGUGGCAGAGGGAGGUGGAAUUCCUGGUGUAGCAGUGAAAUGCGUAGAGAUCAUGAGGAAGACCAGUGGCGAAGGCGGGUCUCUGGACAGUUCCUGACACUGAGGCACGAAGGCCAGGGGAGCAAACGGG
rnacentral:rRNA from 1 species